AAAAUAAUAAUCAUGUACCAAGAAAAAAAACAUUUGAAUUGGUCGGCAAUAAUCAUCAGAAAUAACCCAUCAUCAACAUCAUCAACAUCGAAAAUCUUCCUACUUAAAAGCAUAUAUGCUAAUAAUAUCAAACAAGGUGAACAUGAAAAAAAAUCCUUAUCAAUGCCAAAUAUCUUUAUCAAUCGUAAUCGAAUGGCCUACAAUUCCUGAACAACAAUCAUUCUGCGUAUGUAUUGAAUUGUUAUUGUCAAGUUUAAUUUAUUCACAAAAAAAUGGUGAUCAUCCUAUUCGAUUGGCAAUCAAAAAACUACAACGAUGACGAUGAUGAGACCAAACCAAAACAAAAAAAACGAAAAGAACAUGCAUCGUUUUUUUCCAAUUUAUCCAAUCAUUAAUGACGAUAUUUACAACAACAACCACAAUCAAUGUUUCUCAAAUAAAAUGGUACAUGGUACAUAAUGAUGAACAUUAUUAAAAUCCAUUCAUUAACCGUUUUUUAAAAGAAAUUAUGGCCGAUGGGCAAUAUGCUGCUCUUUGAUUUUCAAUUAAUUUGUACUCAAAAUAUUGCACUUCAUUCAUUCUAUAUGUUUAUUAUCAUUAUCAUU